AAUUCUAAUUUUUUAAGUUAAGGUUAAGUGUUGCUCAUUCUCAAAUAAGUUAUUGAUUUCCUGUUGUGAAUAUUUUAAUAUUAAAUAAUAUUUAAGAACAAUGCCUGGUCCUGCUAGAGCUGCAACGGCAAAAUUGCCAAUUGGAAAAAAACAGAUUGAAGUCCUGACCUCAUGGCUUGGUACUGCCGGUGCUUAUGGGGCCACUUCAGCAGCGCUGAUUGUCUACUUAACAGACUGGAGAGUUGUUGUUGAUUAUAUUCCUUUUUACAAUACCAAAUUUCCUAAACAAGAAUAGAAAGUUUUAAAUUUAUGUGUGAAGAAUAAUUGUAUAGAUGUUUUAAUAAAAAUUGGUUAGUUUGUAUAAUAUAUUUACUUAUUUACAUAAAGGCAAUAACUUUUUAGAAGAAAAGGAAAAUAUUUUGAAAUCUAGGUUUUGGCUGUAUAUUAAAAUCUGAAUGGAAUAAUGUAUUAAAAGCUUAAAUUUA